UACAGAGGUCCCAAGCGUUGUUCGGAUUCACUGGGCGUAAAGGGUGCGUAGGUGGUCGGGUAAGUCUGAUGUGAAAUCUCCGAGCUCAACUCGGAAAUGGCAUUGGAUACUAUUCGGCUAGAGGGUUUGAGGGGGGACUGGAAUACUUGGUGUAGCAGUGAAAUGCGUAGAUAUCAAGUGGAACACCAGUGGCGAAGGCGAGUCCCUGGAAAACUCCUGACACUGAGGCGCGAAAGCUAGGGGAGCAAACAGG
rnacentral:rRNA from 1 species